GCCAUUUGCAUUGGAGACCUGCCUUCACGCUGCCCCACGGCUCCGCUCCAGGGUUUGACACAGUCCGAAUCCACCGUUUGAACAUGGGCAGCGUUUUCUCAUCUCAGAUGGAGCUGAAAAAGAUGGAGCACGAGGAGGCAGAGAGGAAGAGGCAGCACAAGCGGGAGGAGGACGAGAGGAAGCGAGCGCACGAGGCAGAGGAGAGGCAGCGCGCGCGCAAGGAGGAAGAGAGGAAGCGCGAGCACGAGGACCGGGAGAGAGAGCGGCAGCACAGGGAGCGCAUGUACCAGCGCGAGCUUG